UGGGGAAUAUUGGACAAUGGGCGCAAGCCUGAUCCAGCCAUGCCGCGUGAGUGACGAAGGCCUUAGGGUUGUAAAGCUCUUUUGGCGGGGAAGAUAAUGACGGUACCCGCAGAAUAAGCUCCGGCUAACUUCGUGCCAGCAGCCGCGGUAAUACGAAGGGAGCUAGCGUUGUUCGGAAUCACUGGGCGUAAAGCGCACGUAGGUGGAUAGUUAAGUGAGGGGUGAAAGCCCGAGGCUCAACCUCGGAAUUGCCUCUCAUACUGGCUGUCUCGAGUCCGAGAGAGGUGGGUGGAAUUCCUAGUGUAGAGGUGAAAUUCGUAGAUAUUAGGAAGAACACCGGUGGCGAAGGCGGCCCACUGGCUCGGUACUGACACUGAGGUGCGAAAGCGUGGGGAGCAAACAGGAUUAGAUACCCGCGUAGUCCCUGAGCGGGCUGGCAAGGCGCAU
rnacentral:rRNA from 1 species